rnacentral:lncRNA from 1 species
UACUGUCAAGCUGAUCGCGCCGUCGUCUACUGCAAUCACUUUGGAGGAAAGGAUGGUCAGUAACAGGAAAACUUUGGUUGAGAUUGUCCAAGCAGUACCAAAUGCAGCCAUUGUAAGUUUAUAACUGAAUUUUCGUACAUGGUCAACUUUAGUAAAUGUCCAACGUUUAUAAAUACUAACUGAAAAUACAGGGAGCCAAGUUCACAUGCAAGGGUGUCAUUUCUGAGGUUAUAUACGAUUAUGAGCCCUUCUAUUUCUCUUGCAACAACAAAGAGUGUCGCAAGAAAGUUGUUCCUAGAGGCAGC